AGCUUCAGCAGGCAGAUCAAAGAAAGUAACAGCCUGUGAUAAAAAUAAAAAAUAAAAAAUUUUAUAUAUAAAAAUAUAUAUACAUUUCCAUUAGACCCCUCAUCGACCUUCCUUACCCCAGCUCUGCCCCCAAAAUCCUACAUGCUGGGGGAGCUUGGCCAGACCCCACACCAGCAGAUGUCCAUGGGACUGUCCCCGUGGAGAAGUGGUGUCCUCAGCCAGGAGAGGCCACCUAGGGCAGAGCCCCAGCACCCGUGGACCUUGGGAGCCUGCGGGCUCCCAAAAACCAGCUGGAUGAGGUCACCCCAAUGCAACCUUACUGGAGACUGGGGAGCUACAGGCAAGGCUGGCCUUGUCCAAAAAUCCUUGAUGGGAUCCUUCACCCAUUGCCCAGCUUACGAGCACAUUCAUUUCCCCCUUCAUUCUCCAGCUGUAAAGGCAGAGAAUUUAAAAAUUAAACCCUGCUGGGAAAUAAAAUAGUCGUAGGUCCCUUGAGACACAAGUUACAGCUACAACCCAGCACCAGGAGUGUGGAAACAGCCUCGCUACGUAUUGUGGGGUUUGACAGGUAGGAAAAUAUUUCUCAGCUGAGCUUUCCCCUUCAGUUUGGGUUAAUAGUUUGGCUCCAGCUUUAUGGAGAAAUUCCUGCCUUUUCCAGAACACAUAAAUUUUAAAACGUAACCAGCACGAGAGAGAAGAUCUAUCUGCUGGAUGCCUGAUUAAUGCUGAAUUCCUUCCCUCCGUACAGCAUUCCUCUUUUGAAAGCACUCUGGCUCUUCACAGCUCCUCUCCUUCAGACUUUGAGGAGAUGCCUGUGCUGAGGACAAGCAGGGAGUUCAGUUUUUGUGUUGUUUUUAGCGUGGCAACACACACGAGAUACAUGCAAUAAAAAGAACAAGGGGAGCUGUUUCCGGCAAACAAUUUAUUUCAGCUUGUGAAUUAUCCAGGAGGAUAACCACUACAUGUUUUUACUACACAGUCAGCUGUCUGUCAGAGUUACUGGGCAAGCCACGUGAGCGUAUUUUGGUGUGCGAGCUGUGCCUCGUGAUGCCUGAACCCCCUGCCUCCAGGAGGAACCUGCUCCCACCAGCAGUGGGGACCAAGGUCAGCACACCCAUGGGAUGUCACAGAUGGCUUUGUGGUGCCAAGACCAAAUUUUAACCCUAAUUUGAUUCACCAGCUUCCAGCCCACCCCACAGAGCCUGGCCACGGGCUCCCACACCCGUGGAUGUGGCUGGGUAAUGGGAAAAGGCAGCAAGCCCAGCUGCAGCGCUGCCUUCUGAAGAAGUCCUGACAUCGCAGGUGGAGCUGAAUUGGAAAAUUAAUUAUCCCCAUCAGGAAGCUUCAGAGCUGAGCAAUAAAUGGAUCCCUUUCACAGCCAGCUUCAGCUUUGCCCCUCUGCUGUGAACCUGUGUAAUGAAGCGGUGCUCGGGGAGUGUCACAAGUCUCGGGAGCCCUGCUAGGUCUCAGCCCCAGCAAAUCCGCCUGUUCCUGUGCGUGGGGCAGGCAUUGCAAGGCUCUCUGCUUUGGUCUUCUUCCCGGUCAUCUACCAUUCGUAGCACUGCUCUGAAACACCAUCAUAAUCCUGGGGGAGAAACGUGAAGGAAGGAAAGAAAAAGACUUCUCACGCACCCCUUGCCCUGUCUGACUCUGAUUCAUGCAUAGAGAAAAGCAUCUUUCGCUGUCUGAAGGGACCAGAGGACAAAAGAUGCUUGUGAAAUACAGAUGCAGAUGGUAGUCCUGCCUCCUCCUUGCAUUAAAACAUUAGCUCCUGGAUGCUCGCCUGGCCGUGGCUGGAGACGUGAUGGUAUUUUCCAGGACAGCUCUUGCCCCUGCCCAAUGGCCAGCUCAAAUUUCCCCUCUUCCAAAGGCAAAGCUGGAGACUUGAAAGGAGGGAAUAGGAAUCAAAAAGCAAGGUAGAAGCAGAUAUAAAUCCACAAAAUGAGGCAAGGCAGGGUUAGGAUGAGGGCUUGUACGAAGAGCACAUCUCCGUGCCCAGCUCUGCGGUCGCUCACCCCAGGCAGCAGCACUACAUCCUGCCUCCCUCUGCUCCUCUCUGUGGGGCUGAGGAGGGAAAUGGUAUUGCUGGGCUCAAU